rnacentral:rRNA from 1 species
GACGAACGCUGGCGGCGUGCUUAACACAUGCAAGUCGAACGGAAAGGCCCUGCUUUUGUGGGGUGCUCGAGUGGCGAACGGGUGAGUAACACGUGAGUAACCUGCCCUUGACUUUGGGAUAACUUCAGGAAACUGGGGCUAAUACCGGAUAGAAGCUCCUGCUGCAUGGUGGGGGUUGGAAAGUUUCGGCGGUUGGGGAUGGACUCGCGGCUUAUCAGCUUGUUGGUGGGGUAGAGGCUUACCAAGGCUUUGACGGGUAGCCGGCCUGAGAGGGUGACCGGCCACAUUGGGACUGAGAUACGGCCCAGACUCCUACGGGAGGCAGCAGUGGGGAAUAUUGCACAAUGGGCGGAAGCCUGAUGCAGCAACGCCGCGUGCGGGAUGACGGCCUUCGGGUUGUAAACCGCUUUCGCCUGUGACGAAGCGUGAGUGACGGUAAUGGGUAAAGAAGCACCGGCUAACUACGUG